GGACUAUCUGGGUACCAACCUACCCUGGCACCAAGUCACUGCAAGACUAGACACAUCCUCUACCACUGAGAACAGACAAAACAGCCCAGUUAGGGGAGCAGGAUCCACAGGCAGGCAAGAGAGUCAAGGCAACUCCUGCUCCAGUUGUUGGGUGACUUGCAUGAAGACCAACUUGCACAUCUGCUACAUAUGUGUGGGAGAGAGAUGCUAGGUCCAGACCUCUUUCCUUAGUAGUUCAGUCUUUGGGAGCCGGUAAGGGUCCAGGUUAGUUGACUCUGCUGAACAUCUAGAGUCUGUCCUCCCCCACCCCCCUUCCUAUUCCAAAAGACUUCCCAAGUUCUAUCUAAUGUUUAGCUAUGGGUUUCUGCUUCUGUUUUGGUCAGGUGCUGGAUGGAGCCCUCAGAGGAUAGGCUCCUAUCUGAAAGGCUAAAAUGUCUGCAAGCUUAACAGAGUAUCAUCAAUAGUGUCAUGGACUGGUUCGUGCUCAUGGGAUGGAUCUUAAAUUGGGUCAGUCAUUAAUUGGCCAUCUCUCAGUCUUUGUGACAUCUUUGCACUUGCACUUCUUGCAGGCAAGAAAAAUUUUGGAUUGAAAAUUUUGUGGGUGGGUUGCUGUCCUUAUCCCUCUCCUAAGAGUCCUGUCUGGCUAUAGGAGCUGCACUUCAGCUUGCAUAUACCCCAAUGCUAGGAGUCUCAGCUAGAGUUGCUCCCUGGAGCCUGUCUCAUCCUGUGUCUCUGACAUGUUCUGGAGGAUGGCUCAGACAUUAAAGGCUAAGCAUACAACCAAAAAUAUAAGAUUUCAAAUAUUAAAUAUCAUAUUUACAUACCUUUGGAUACUUUUAAGGUCAAUAUGGUUUUCUACAAUAAAAGUGUGACUGAUUAGGAUCAAAUCCCUUAUUCUAAGACACUAUUGGGAGCCUGAUUCAUUGACUUUGUCUAAAUUCUACAAGUCAUCCUAAUGACAAGAUGAUAAAUGAGUGUAUGCCUAUGUCAACCUUAAAGUAUUGGACAUAGAAUUAGUUCAAGGAAGUUCUAGGCUGUUUUAAAACAUUUACAAUCCUUGAAAUCUCAUCUCUCUAAGCUUUAAAGACAUUGCUAAGAAUUUCAGCAGUAAAGAAUGAGUUUCAAAUCCCACUCAAGAAAGUAAAAUUAAAUGACCCAAGUUCUCUCUGUCUCUGUCUCUGUCUCUGUCUCUCUGUCUCUCUGUCUCUCUCUCUCACACACACACACACACAUACAUACAUUCAUUUUGCAUAAGUGAAUGCAUUGUACCGAAUGCAUUGUACAUGCACACAUACUGUCAUAUUAGUCUACAACACUAGUUCAUAUUCCAUUUGUCUUAUUUUAUCCUAAUCAUAUAUAUUUAUAUUUCAUUCUAAUUAUUUAAUUUUAUAUGUUAGAAAUAUUUUAGAAGAGCAAUUGAAAUCACUAUUUCUCAAAGUGUUCAUCAGAGGAGAGAAUCUACUCACCACUCCAGGCAUUUCCCUGAUACAUAAAAGCUUUAUUUGAUCCUCUUGAAAAGAAAUUUUGCUACAUUUAUGCAAGUUAAAAUAUGAAAAAUAUUCUAAAACAGACUUUCAAAUGAAUCUCCCAUUUAUAAUAAAGACAAUAUGAAUUAAAUUGCUUCGUAUGACCAAAUUUUGAAGUUUAUUUAAGCAUCAUUGGUUAACAGCAAAAUAUUUCCAUGACAAUAAUUUUCAUUUAGGCCAAAUUGUAUCUCUAGGAAAUAAUUAUUUGUUUGGUUUUUUUCAACAGCAGCAAAAACAGUAACGGGACUUUCAAAUUAUUGUUAGUAUUGUGUACUUGAGAAGAUCUAAAAACCAUGUAAGAAACAGGCCUCUGACCACACCUGGGUUACCUGGCUAGGUUACCCUCUGAGCAAACGUGCCUGUGAGGAGUUAUAUGCACAAGGUUAACUGAGCUGGAGAGGCCCCUGCUGGCCUCACAUGAUGGGUGGCACAGUUUUCUUGGCUGCAACUGUAAACUGUAUAAAAAGGCAAAAGAUCCUAAGUGUUCAUUGUUCUCUUCUUUCCAAUUGUAUAUAUAGUGUGACCAUUUUCUCCAAGCUUCUACUAACUUGACUUUUCUAUCAUGGCAGAUGGUACCAUCAAUUACCAGCCAAAAUAACCAUGAACAAAAGCUGAAUUGGGGAGGAGAGGGUUUAUUUUGUUUACAUUUCCACAGCACUGUGCAUCUGCAAAGGAAGCAAGGACAGGAACUCAAAUAAGGCAGGAAACUGGGGAGGUAAGAACUGAUGUUGAUACCAUGGGGGCUUGCUACUCACUGGCUUGCUCAUUAUGGCUUCCUUGCUCAGCUUGCUUUCUGUCAUAGAAUUCAGUCCCACCAUCCCUGGUAUAGCAUUACCCACAAUGGGCCAGGCCUUUUCCUGUCAAUCACUAAUUAAGAAACGGCCCCACGGGCUUACCUGCAGUUCCAAGCUUAUGGAGGCAUUUUUCUUAAUUGUGAUUCUCCUUUUUCAGGUGGCUUCAGCUUGUGUCAUGUUGACACCAAACUACCCAGCCACCCCCUCUUCAGAAGAACCAUCUAAUACCCUGUGGGUUCCUCUUCUCCAUAAACAUUCCGCUCUACAAUCAUUAUGGUUACCAUUGUAGUGAAAAGUGAAACGUGCCGCACAAAGACAUAAUUCCAAAGUCCUUAUACGCAUAUAGGUCUUUGUAGAUGGGGUUCAGCACUUCAGAAGGAGGCAAUUUUGGAUGUGGGGGAGGUUCAGUCAAGUACUGCUGACACCUUUGGUUCUGCCUCCCAGCCUGUGGAACUGUGGCUGGAUAAAUGUCUGUUCUGAAAGUUUUCGUCUACACUCAUUUAUUUCAACAGCCUAUAUACCAAGCCAUCUCACUUCUAGUCCUUCUUCCCAGCCUCUUCUAACUUUAAUCUCCCACACUGCGGAGGAAUCAAAACUUCUGCUCAUGCUCCUCUCCUUUGUGAGGGUCAGAUGUUAAUGUACCUUGUUAAAUUAUUUAUAUAUUUCUUAUAUAUAUGUGUAUGUAUAUAUAUAUGUAUGUGUAUAUAUAUAUAUAUAUAUAUAUAUAUGAAUUAAUUAACAUGUGAAGACUCCCAUGGUCUUCUUAAUGUAAUUUUGUGCCACCAUUGUUUACUAAAGGUUUCCAGAAAAGCUGAUGUCCUUCUCCAUUUACUUUGGUCUUUUUAACUGCUGCUCCCCGCAUCCCAUAUCUAAACUGUCAUCACAUCAGUGAUUGAUAGCUUACAAAUAUUUCUCAAAUAAAUCAAUUUCUCUUCCUCUCUGCCACUGUGCACAUAUGUCCUGUUUUUAAACAGCUUCCUUCUCUUGGUGAUUUUCUGGCUUGCUCUUCCCUAUGUAUUCUUAAACCCAAACAUCAAAGCGGUAAUUUUAAAUAUAAAUCAGUGUGCUUCAUGUUCCUGCUUAACUCUCUUUAUUACUUAUUUAAAAAUGUUUAAAAAAUGUUUCUAGGAACUGCUUUUAAUAUUAGAAGACAGGAGGCAAAGACAGAGGAUCUUUGUAGGUUUGAGGCCAGUCUGGUCUACAGAGCAAGAUCUAGGGCUAUACAAUGAGACCAUGUCUCAUACAAAACAAAACAACAAAUCAAAAGGUAAUACUUUUAUCUCUUUAUAAACAUCGAUAUUUUUAUUUGCUAUUUCUUGAAUGCUAACUUUAUUUUAACUACCAUAGUAAAUUAUUCAUUAGCAUAAUAUAAUUUCGAUCCUAACAGCAAUUUAGUAAGAUAAGUACCCGCAUCAAUUCCUUGUACAAAAGAAGGCUAUGAUGCUCAGAGAGAGUAACUUUCCCAAGCUUGUAUAGACACAAUACCCAAUGAGAUAUAUGACAGAAGAAUCUUCAUUUUUUACCACUAUAUUAUUUUCCAACAAGUUACUACAAAAUUCAAAUCGCUCUCAGAGCUGUAUUCAGUUUAUUGAUUUUUGAAUACCCAAAGAUGACUGCCAAGCAUAGUGAUGUUUGCUUGUAGUGCCAGCAGCACAGACUGCUCAGCAUUAAGAUUCUCAAAGGCCAAGGUUGGGACCAAUCUGAGCUAUGUGAGAAAAUACCCUCUCAAAAACAAACAGCCAAGUAUGGUGAUAUGUGUCCUUAUUUUUACACAGAGGAAAUUGAGAUAAGAUAGUGAAGAAUUUAAUGGAAUCCUAGGACAAAUAGCAACACUUCUCUCAUAAAACAGAAACAAUAAGCAAACC
rnacentral:lncRNA from 1 species